rnacentral:rRNA from 1 species
GAUGAACGCUGACAGAAUGCUUAACACAUGCAAGUCUUUGGCGAAGCUGUGCUUGCACCGCCUAGCCAAGGCGGACGGGUGAGUAACGCGUAAGGAACUUGCCCUGCAGUCAGGGAUAACAGACGGAAACGACUGAUAAGACCUGGUAAAGUCAGGCGGACUCAUGUCCAGCCUGAUGAAAAGAGAUGCUGCAGGAGAGCCUUGCGUCCUAUUAGCUUGUUGGUGGGGUAACGGCCCACCAAGGCGAUGAUAGGUAGCCGGCCUGAGAGGGUGGACGGCCACAAGGGGACUGAGAUACGGCCCUUACUCCUACGGGAGGAAGCAGGGGGGAAUAUUGGACAAUGGGGGCAACCCUGAUCCAGCAAUUCUGUGUGCACGAUGAAGGUUUUCGGAUUGUAAAGUGCUUUCAGCAGGGAAGAAAAAAAUGACGGUACCUGCAGAAGAAGCGACGGCUAAAUACGUG